rnacentral:ncRNA from 17 species
GGAUAUCAUCAUAUACUGUAAGU